UCAGAACGAUGCGUCAUGCAUAUCAAUAAGCGGAGGAAAAGAAACUAACAGGGAUUCCCUUAGUAACGGCGAGUGAAGCGGGAAGAGCUCAAAUUUGAAAUCUUCAAGGUUUUACCUUGACGAAUUGUAGUUUAAAGAAGUGUUUUCUGUUGAAGUUUUGGUAAAAGUUCUUUGGAAUAGGACAUCAUAGAGGGUGAGAAUCCCGUAUUUGACCAUUAUUUUCAGCUGUGUGAUACACUUUCAAAGAGCCGGAUUGUUUGGGAAUGCAGUCCAAAAUGGGUGGUAAAUUUCAUCUAAAGCUAAAUAUUGGCGAGAGACCGAUAGCGAACAAGUACCGUGAGGGAAAGAUGAAAAGAACUUUGAAAAGAGAGUUAAACAGUACGUGAAAUUGUCAAAAGGGAAGCGUUUGACACCAGUGUUGUUUUCUCGAAAAUCAAUUAAAAAGAGUUAGAUUUUGUUGUGUAUUGACCUUAACAGCUUGCAUUUCAAUUUUCUUGCUUUUUUUAAUGCACUUUUCGUUUAACAAGUCAACAUCAGUUUCUUUUGUUGUAAAAAGGUCAUUGGAAGGUGGCUUUCUUUUCGGAGAAAGUGUUUAUAGCCUUUGACUCCUGCAAUCGGAGAGACUGAGGUCUGCAGCGUAGACUCCUUUUGGGAUUAGAUUACAUUUGUGCUAAGUUAUAGCUUUUUAUAGACAACAUGUUGACUAUAAUUAGUCUUGUAGCUUACUCGCUUAUGUAUUUUACCUACGCUUAGGAUGUUGAGUCAUCGUAUCGCGC
rnacentral:rRNA from 1 species